UACGUAGGGUGCGAGCGUUAAUCGGAAUUACUGGGCGUAAAGCGUGCGCAGGCGGUUUUGUAAGCCAGAUGUGAAAUCCCCGGGCUUAACCUGGGAAUGGCAUUUGGGACUGCAAGGCUUGAGUGCGGCAGAGGAGACUGGAAUUCCUGGUGUAGCAGUGAAAUGCGUAGAUAUCAGGAGGAACACCGAUGGCGAAGGCAGGUCUCUGGGCUGACACUGACGCUCAUGCACGAAAGCGUGG
rnacentral:rRNA from 1 species